GCGUAAGAACCUGCCCUUGGGAGGGGAACAACAGCUGGAAACGGUUGCUAAUACCCCAUAGAAUUGAGUACCUCUACGAGGUAGGCUGAGGAGCAAAAAGGGAAAGGAAUCCGCCUAAGGAGGGGCGUCACGUCUGAUUAGCUAGUUGGUGAGGCAAUGGCUUACCAAGGCUCCGAUCAGUAGUUGGUCUGAGAGGAUGAUCAGCCACACUGGGACUGAGACACGGCCCAGACUCCUACGGGAGGCAGCAGUGAGGAAUUUUCCGUCAAUGGGCGGAAAGCCUGACGGAGCAAUGCCGCG
rnacentral:rRNA from 1 species